GUUUAUGGCCAUACCACCCUAAAUGCGCCCGAUCUCAUCUGAUCUCAGAAGCUAAGCAAGAUUGGGCCUGGUUAGUACUUGGAUGGGAGAAAAACCUAGAAGUAUGGGCA
rnacentral:rRNA from 1 species